GAUGAACGCUGGCGGCGUGCCUAAUACAUGCAAGUCGAGCGAACAGACGAGGAGCUUGCUCCUCUGACGUUAGCGGCGGACGGGUGAGUAACACGUGGAUAACCUACCUAUAAGACUGGGAUAACUUCGGGAAACCGGAGCUAAUACCGGAUAAUAUAUUGAACCGCAUGGUUCAAUAGUGAAAGACGGUUUUGCUGUCACUUAUAGAUGGAUCCGCGCCGCAUUAGCUAGUUGGUAAGGUAACGGCUUACCAAGGCAACGAUGCGUAGCCGACCUGAGAGGGUGAUCGGCCACACUGGAACUGAGACACGGUCCAGACUCCUACGGGAGGCAGCAGUAGGGAAUCUUCCGCAAAGGGCGAAAGCCUGACGGAGCAACGCCGCGUGAGUGAUGAAGGUCUUCGGAUCGUAAAACUCUGUUAUUAGGGAAGAACAAAUGUGUAAGUAACUAUGCACGUCUUGACGGUACCUAAUCAGAAAGCCACCGCUAACUACGUG
rnacentral:rRNA from 1 species